AUUGAACGCUGGCGGCAGGCUUAACACAUGCAAGUCGAGCGGGGGAAGGUAGCUUGCUACCGGACCUAGCGGCGGACGGGGGAGUAAUGCUUAGGAAUCCGCCUAUUAGUGGGGGACAACAUCCCGAAAGGGAUGCUAAUAACGGCUGAGUCCUCACGGAGAAAGCAGGGGAUCUUCGGACCUUGCGCUAAUAGAUGAGCCUAAGUCGGAUUAGCUAGGUGGUGGGGUAAAGGCCUACCAAGGCGACGAUUUGUAGCGGGUCUGAGAGGAUGAUCCGCCACACUGGGACUGAGACACGGCCCAGACUCCUACGGGAGGCAGCAGUGGGGAAUAUUGGACAAUGGGGGGAACCCUGAUCCAGCCAUGCCGCGUGUGUGAAGAAGGCCUUAUGGUUGUAAAGCACUUUAAGCGAGGAGGAGGCUACUCUAGUUAAUACCUAGGGAUAGUGGACGUUACUCGCAGAAUAAGCACCGGCUAACUCUGUGCCAGCCGCCGCAGUAA
rnacentral:rRNA from 1 species